UGCAAGUCGAACGAAGUCUUCGGACUUAGUGGCGCACGGGUGCGUAACGCGUGGGAACCUGCCUUUAGGUACGGAAUAACAGUUAGAAAUGACUGCUAAUACCGUAUAAUGUCUUCGGACCAAAGAUUUAUCGCCUUUAGAUGGGCCCGCGUUGGAUUAGGUAGUUGGUGGGGUAAAGGCCUACCAAGCCGACGAUCCAUAGCUGGUCUGAGAGGAUGAUCAGCCACACUGGGACUGAGACACGGCCCAGACUCCUACGGGAGGCAGCAGUGGGGAAUAUUGGACAAUGGGGGAAACCCUGAUCCAGCAAUGCCGCGUGAGUGAUGAAGGCCUUAGGGUUGUAAAGCUCUUUUACCAGGGAUGAUAAUGACAGUACCUGGAGAAUAAGCUCCGGCUAACUCCGUGCCAGCAGCCGCGGUAAUACGGAGGGAGCUAGCGUUGUUCGGAAUUACUGGGCGUAAAGCGCGCGUAGGCGGUCUAUUAAGUCAGGGGUGAAAUCCCGGGGCUCAACCCCGGAACUGCCCUUGAAACUGCUAGACUAGAAUCUUGGAGAGGCGAGUGGAAUUCCGAGUGUAGAGGUGAAAUUCGUAGAUAUUCGGAAGAACACCAGUGGCGAAGGCGACUCGCUGGACAAGUAUUGACGCUGAGGUGCGAAAGUGUGGGGAGCAAACAGGAUUAGAUACCCUGGUAGUCCACACCGUAAACGAUGAUAACUAGCUGUCCGGGCACAUGGUGCUUGGGUGGCGCAGCUAACGCAUUAAGUUAUCCGCCUGGGGAGUACGGUCGC
rnacentral:rRNA from 1 species